CGGGUGGAACAAUGGUUGCAAAGGGAUUGCCAUAUGGGCUUAAAAGGGGCCUGAUUUGAGGAAAGGGACCAUUCCAGUAAGGUGAUAAAUAACCUGUCAUAGCUCCUGGAAACAUGGCAUUUCCUGUCUGAAGCAUAGGAUGUGGACUUGAAGCAGCUGGGCAGUCUCUUAUAAAAUGAUCUGGAGAUCCACACAUGUAACAUGUUCGGUCCCCCUUUCUGUGCCUUCCUGUCUCCAUAAAGCUUCUGUCUACACCUGCAGUGUUGACACAUGAUCCUCUCUUCUUCUUGAUGGUAGACUCAGCUUCCUCGUGCAUGGGCUGGUUCUCCCCUUGAAACUCAGAAACCAAGUCCUCAGCUCCUCUUUCCAAAUCCACCGGAUGUCUAGAGCCAUGCUUUUCUGCAUCUAAUUGUUUUAGCUUAUGACAAAGCGAUGAUUUGCCACCAACUGAUUUUCCCAUAAUUUGAUUGGAACCCCUCCUUGUAGCACAGGGAGAAUGAGGCAACACUGCUUCUCUUUGGUGAACACUCACAGCACAUGACAGUUCUUUCACUUGAAUUCCAGAUUCUCCAUCUGGAGCAUACCCAAAGGCAUUGUCUGAACUUUUGAU
rnacentral:misc_RNA from 1 species